GGGAUUGCCCUAGUAACGGCGAGUGAAGCGGCAACAGCUCAAAUUUGAAAUCUGGCGCAAGCCCGAAUUGUAAUUUGUAGAGGAUGCUUCUGGGUAGCGACCGGUCUAAGUUCCUUGGAACAGGACGUCAGAGAGGGUGAGAAUCCCGUAUGUGACCGGCCCGCACCCUCCACGUAGCUCCUUCGACGAGUCGAGUUGUUUGGGAAUGCAGCUCUAAAUGGGAGGUAAAUUUCUUCUAAAGCUAAAUACCGGCCAGAGACCGAUAGCGCACAAGUAGAGUGAUCGAAAGAUGAAAAGUACUUUGGAAAGAGAGUUAAACAGCACGUGAAAUUGUUGAAAGGGAAGCGCCUGCAAUCAGACUUCGCGGCAGUGUUCCGCCGGCCUUCUGGCCGGUUCAUUCGCUGUCGUGAGGCCAUCAUCGUCUCGGCCCGCUGGAUAAGACCUGGGGAAUGUAGCUCACCUUCGGGGGAGUGUUAUAGCUUCGGGUGAUGCAGCGCGGCGGGGGCGAGGUCCGCGCUUCGGCAAGGAUGAUGGCGUAAUGGUUGUCGGCGGCCCGUCUUGAAACACGGACCAAGGAGUCUAACAUCUAUGCGAGUGUUCGGGUGUCAAACCCCUACGCGUAAUGAAAGUGAACGGAGGUGGGAACCGCAAGGUGCACCAUCGACCGAUCCUGAUGUCCUCGGAUGGAUUUGAGUAAGAGCAUAGCUGUUGGGACCCGAAAGAUGGUGAACUAUGCCUGAAUAGGGUGAAGCCAGAGGAAACUCUGGUGGAGGCUCGCAGCGGUUCUGACGUGCAAAUCGAUCGUCAAAUUUGGGUAUAGGGGCG
rnacentral:rRNA from 1 species